UACGAAGGGGGCUAGCGUUGUUCGGAAUUACUGGGCGUAAAGGGCGCGUAGGCGGUUUGAAUCGUCGGAUGUGAAAGGCCUGGGCUCAACCUGGGAACGGCAUCCGAUACUGGAUGGCUUGAAUCCGGGAGAGGGAUGCAGAAUUCCAGGUGUAGCGGUGAAAUGCGUAGAUAUCUGGAGGAAUACCGGUGGCGAAGGCGGCAUCCUGGACCGGCAUUGACGCUGAUGAGCGAAAGCUAGGGGAGCAAACGGG
rnacentral:rRNA from 1 species